CGGCCGGAAGCGCGUGCAGCAGCAGGUCUAAUGGCGAAUAGUAGAGGUUCUUGAGGGCUGAAGGCUACAGACUGAAGGUGGGUCUGACUGAAAACCUGUCUGCAUUUAAGUUGUUGCCCUGUGUGCUAUGAUGACUAAAUAUUAACACAUCAUGCUGACAAAACACCAUGCAUCAUUUGAAGCAGCUUGCCAGUAGGGGGCGCCAACUAUCUACAAGGAGCUCACAUUGAUUGCAGUGAUCCUGCCGUGCAGUUUUGGGUGAGUUAGGGAUGUGACCAGGCUGCAUCGACCUGUUGCAGCAAAUGAAAGUCGUGUCAGUAUGUGCUCUAAAUCUAAACCAUGACGUUCGCCCCUCAUUUUAGGGUUGAAAACUGAGUUAUGAAAGUGUUUGCCUUUUAGUAAUCACUUGUAAUUUGUCAUUUAAUCUAACCAUUUCAUCUCUAGUUGAAAGAAUGAAUGCAACCUUUUUGUUGCAUACAUGUGUGGGUAAUGGACAGAAAAUGUGUAUUUGCGCUACUGGAGUGUCAAAUGUGACUUGAGGAUAAAAGAAGUCAUUGUCCCACAUUUGUCAACAUUUAGUCUAAAACAAACUCAUUGCUUGUAACGAAGCACAUUGAUUAAUGAAGGAGAUGUAAGUUUCUCAUGUGGCAACGUCUAACAGGUGGCCACUAGUUUAAGGGAACCCAUGAACAAUAUGGACAUGGCGUCUGGGUUGGGAAAAUAAAGCAAAUGCCAGUCCCUUUAAAACUUUAGUAUUCAAGCAAGAUUGAAGCUAGAUCUCCUGAAAGACUGGCAGAAAUCUGCAAAGAGGCUCUCAGUUCUAGGAGAUGGUUAGUCUUAAGAUAAUCAGUUGCAUAAGGGAUUUCCAGCAGGGCUAUUUCAUUGGAAAACUCUUUCAUGAGUAAAUUUUUUUUUUUUUUUUUUUUUAUUUAUUUAUUUUUUUGACAUUAAGAGAUUUCAAGAAGGUAGUUGAAUGCUGACAGCACUUUAUAGACCAUUAUAGCAGAAGUCAGUGUGUAUUCUGUUUGUGUGGGAACAUACGAGGGUGGGCUGAAAAGUUCAUAGGCUGAGUGAGGAGUUAUCAUACAGUAAUUAAAUUUGGCAUGCUGUAUAUUUAACCUUGGGUUAUCCCCUGAGGACAUUCAUGCUGACAUGGUUGCUGCAUUUGGGGAUGAUGAUCCAGCUUUAUCAACUGUGCACAAGUGGGCAGCUGAAUUCAAGAGGGGUAGGGAGAACCUUGAAGAUGACCCAAGGACGUCCUGAGAAUGAGUUGAACUGUCUGCAUAACUUGACGUGUCAAAGGUUUCUGCUCGGUGGGUGCCACGACUUUUGACACCUGAUCAAAAGCACACCAGGCUCAUAUCUGUGUAAUAAAACAAACAUCUGAGAUCUGGCACAGGAACUCAAAUCAAACUUAAAAGUGCAGCUCUGACACUUAAAUUUUUUGGUUUAAUCAAAAGCAUAGAUAAUGCAGUGUUGUAUUGAGAUGAUUAUUCAUAUGCAGGUUACCUUUAAUAAAAUCUG